UUUCACACGCAAUGCCGUCAUGCAGACCAUAGGUAUCAAUCAGGAGCUCACUCCCGCGUGGUAACGUACCUUUUGUAUCAGAACACCCAAGGAAUCUUGUGCUAGUGCCGGAUCAGCACUUCCAGCGAAAGAUUUUUCGCCGAAUGAUCGUUGCCGAGUCUGAUUAGAUAUGAGGCGAGUUUUUGACUCUCCCAGGCAACUAUCACUACCUGUCCUGAUAGGACCAUCAUUCACAUUGGGACUGAGACACGCCCCAAACUCCUACGAGAGCUUGCACGUGGUCCAUACUGUCCUCUGGGGUUAACCCUGAUCCACCCCUGCCGAGGGAGUGAUGAAUGCCCUCGGCUUGUAAAGCUCUUUUGUCCCGUAACAUAAUGUUCGGCCCGCAUGAAUAAGCCCCGGCUAACUUCGCGCCUGCAGCACCUGUGAUUCCGAACGCCGCUAGCGUUGCUCGUAAUCUCUACCCGUCAAGGGUGCGUAAACGGGUGUUUAAGUUCUGCGCGAAAUCCCGGAUCUCACCUCCUGAACUGCCUUUUAUACUGACCAUCGUGAGUCCCUUAGAGGUGAAUUCUACCGCCCGUUCUCACCUGACAUUCUGAUAUAUUCGCAAGAUCCCCCCCGACUAAGGCGACCCACUGACCCGGGACUUUCACUGAUUCACGAAAGCACUGACAAGGAAACCUGAUUCUGUUUGCUCGCCAUGCCUUCCCGGAAACAAUGUAUGCCCCGCCGCUUAGUGGGGUUUCCUCCCCCACUGGGGCGUUCUACU
rnacentral:rRNA from 1 species